rnacentral:rRNA from 1 species
CCUCGGGUGGCAGCAGUGAGGAAUAUUGGUCAAUGGACGAGAGCCUGAACCAGCCAAGUAGCGUGAAGGAUUACUGCCCUUUGGGUUGUAAACUUCUUUUAUUUGGGAAUAAAACGUUCCACGUGUGGGAUUUUGUAUGUACCAUAUGAAUAAGGAUCGGCUAACUCCGUGCCAGCAGCCGCGGUAAUACGGAGGAUCCGAGCGUUAUCCGGAUUUAUUGGGGUUAAAGGGAGCGUAGGUGGAUUGUUAAGUCAGUUGUGAAAGUUUGCGGGUCAACCGUAAAAUUGCAGUUGAAACUGGCAGUCUUGAGUGCAGUAGAGGUAGGCGGAAUUCGUGGUGUAGCGGUGAAAUGCUUAGAUAUCACGAAGAACUCCGAUUGCGAAGGCAGUUCACUGGACUGCAACUGACACUGAGGCUCGAAAGUGUGGGUAUCAAACAGGAUUAGAUACCCCUGUAGUC